GACGAACGCUGGCGGCGUGCCUAAUACAUGCAAGUCGAACGCUGAAGAGAGGAGCUUGCUCUUCUUGGAUGAGUUGCGAACGGGUGAGUAACGCGUAGGUAACCUGCCUUGUAGCGGGGGAUAACUAUUGGAAACGAUAGCUAAUACCGCAUAACAAUGGAUGACACAUGUCAUUUAUUUGAAAGGGGCAAUUGCUCCACUACAAGAUGGACCUGCGUUGUAUUAGCUAGUAGGUGAGGUAAUGGCUCACCUAGGCGACGAUACAUAGCCGACCUGAGAGGGUGAUCGGCCACACUGGGACUGAGACACGGCCCAGACUCCUACGGGAGGCAGCAGUAGGGAAUCUUCGGCAAUGGGGGCAACCCUGACCGAGCAACGCCGCGUGAGUGAAGAAGGUUUUCGGAUCGUAAAGCUCUGUUGUAAGUCAAGAACGGGUGUGAGAGUGGAAAGGUCACACUGUGACGGGAGCUUACCAGAAAGGGACGGCUAACUACG
rnacentral:rRNA from 1 species